rnacentral:lncRNA from 10 species
CAAUUAAAACAAGACGAAGAGAUGGACAUUUUAGCAAAACUAAGUGAAAACCUUGUAAAGUUUUUGGAUUGUGUUUCUACAUUUGAACAUCUAUUGAGGGAGUUAGAGGGGAAGUCUUUGCUGUCAAAUCUGGAAUUGCUGACACAUGUUAAGAGUAUGCUCCACCAGUUUUGAAACUGAAAAUGCCCUGAACUCUUUUCAUUUAGAUUAACAAAAUAGGGUUUUAGUCUUCCUUGUCUAUGUUCUGGCUUAGACAGAAUUAUCAAGCCAUUUCAAGUAGAAUUUAUUCUAGAUUUUGCCUUGGUUCUAGAUCUUGACACAGCACAUCUUCAACUUACUGUCUCCGAGAUGAGAAAACCUGUGUGAUAUGGAAGAACAAAACCAAACGUGUUAUAACCCAAGGAGAUUUUAUUUCUGCCCUGCUAUCCUGGGCUCUCAGAAGUGUAGUUCUGGCAGACAUUACUGGAAGGUAGAAGUGGGAAACAAGGCUAAAUGAAAAUUGGGCAUGUUUUAAGACUGUCUUCUUAGGAACUGACAGGAUCGGCCUUCAGUUUUGGGUAGAUUUUGGGCAAUUGAGUGAUAUAUAAAGAGUGGUUUUGUUGCAUCAGAUCCUAAGAUAACCCAGCUUCUGCUAGUAGUAAAACCCAGUAAGAUUGGUAUUUUUUUUUUGGACUAUGAAUUGGGCAAUUUUUCA